rnacentral:lncRNA from 10 species
GGAAAUCAGUGUUCAGGAGAUUGUCUUGGCCUUCGAAGUACAGAGCCUUUUGGUUGGUUCCUUGAAUUUUAACACUAACUGGAAAUUGAUGGUGCCUUAUUCCAAGAUUUCAGUGUACAAUGCUCAAGUUCAGUGAACUUUCCAAGAUUACUAUGCAUUUCCCAAGGAGAAGAGACAUACAAAAAUUACUCUGCCAAUUACAUAUGCUAGUUUCAUUAAUACCUUCAUUUAAUUGACUGGGAUUUAUGAAAGAUCUAGUAAUGAAGCCAUACUGUGCCAUAACUUAUCCCACCUUGCAAGAAGAAAACGGAAGCUCAGAUGGAUUAAAACUAUAUGCUCUCUGGGGCAGGGACGGGGUCUGUUUUGUUCUUCAGUGUAUUUUCAUGGCCCUACACAGUGUAGUGUGGUGGUAAUAGAGCACAGCCAUUUGGAGCUCAGUGUCUGGAGUCAGACAGACCUGGCUUGGGGCAGAAGCCUCAGGUGAGGAAACAGGUUAGGCUUUAAAAAUAAAGACUUAAAGGUGAACAUGUAUUACAGGUAAUAUCUCAGUUUCCUCACCUCUUAAAAUGAUAUGAAUAUCUAAUAAAGUGUUGGAUAAUGAAAUAAUACAUGUAAUGUGAUCAAAUAGUGUCUGUUACAUAGCUAACAUUUAUUAAUAAAAUUCUCAUCAUUAUCCUUAUCUGGCACUUGGCAUCAUUAUAAAAUGAAUGGCUGAA